GACGAACGCUGGCGGCGUGCUUAACACAUGCAAGUCGAACGGUAAGGCCCUUCGGGGUACACGAGUGGCGAACGGGUGAGUAACACGUGGGUGAUCUGCCCUGCACUUCGGGAUAAGCCUGGGAAACUGGGUCUAAUACCGGAUAGGACCCUGGGAUGCAUGUCCUGGGGUGGAAAGCUUUUGCGGUGUGGGAUGGGCCCGCGGCCUAUCAGCUUGUUGGUGGGGUGAUGGCCUACCAAGGCGACGACGGGUCGCCGGCCUGAGAGGGUGACCGGCCACACUGGGACUGAGAUACGGCCCAGACUCCUACGGGAGGCAGCAGUGGGGAAUAUUGCACAAUGGGCGCAAGCCUGAUGCAGCGACGCCGCGUGAGGGAUGACGGCCUUCGGGUUGUGAACCUCUUUCAGCACCGACGAAGCGCAAGUGACGGUAGGUGCAGAAGAAGGACCGGCCAACUACGUGCCAGCAGCCGCCGUAA
rnacentral:rRNA from 1 species